CUGACCUCAAAUCAGGUAGGACUACCCGCUGAACUUAAGCAUAUCAAUAAGCCGGAGGAAAAGAAACUAACCAAGGAUUCCCCUAGUAACUGCGAGUGAAGCGGGAAAAGCUCAAAUUUAAAAUCUGGCGGUCUUUGGCCGUCCGAGUUGUAGUCUGGAGAAGUGCUUUCCGCGCUGGACCGUGUACAAGUCUCUUGGAACAGAGCGUCAUAGAGGGUGAGAAUCCCGUCUUUGACACGGACUACCAGUGCUUUGUGAUGCGCUCUCAAAGAGUCGAGUUGUUUGGGGAAUGCAGCUCAAAAUGGGUGGUGAAUUCCAUCUAAAGCUAAAUAUUGGCGAGAGACCGAUAGCGAACAAGUACCGUGAGGGAAAGAUGAAAAGCACUUUGGAAAGAGAGUUAAACAGUACGUGAAAUUGCUGAAAGGGAAACGCUUGAAGUCAGUCGCGUCGUCCGAAACUCAGCCUUCCUUCGGGUUGGUGCACUUUUCGGAUGACGGGCCAGCAUCGAUUUUGACCCGCUGGAGAAGGGCUGGAGGAAGGUGGCACCCUCGGGUGUGUUAUAGCCUCUAGUCGCAUACAGCGGUUGGGAUCGAGGAACGCAGCACGCCUUAUGGCUGGGGUUUUCCCACAUUCGUGCC
rnacentral:rRNA from 1 species